rnacentral:rRNA from 1 species
GACGAACGCUGGCGGCGUGCUUAACACAUGCAAGUCGAACGGAAAGGCCCUACUUUUGUCGGGUGCUCGAGUGGCGAACGGGUGAGUAACACGUGAGUAACCUGCCCUUGACUUUGGGAUAACUUCAGGAGACUGGGGCUAAUACCGGAUAGGAGCUCCUGCUGCAUGGUGGGGGUUGGAAAGUUUCGGCGGUUGGGGAUGGACUCGCGGCUUAUCAGCUUGUUGGUGGGGUAGUGGCUUACCAAGGCUUUGACGGGUAGCCGGCCUGAGAGGGUGACCGGCCACAUUGGGACUGAGAUACGGCCCAGACUCCUACGGGAGGCAGCAGUGGGGAAUAUUGCACAAUGGGCGGAAGCCUGAUGCAGCAACGCCGCGUGCGGGAUGACGGCCUUCGGGUUGUAAACCGCUUUCGCCUGUGACGAAGCGUGAGUGACGGUAAUGGGUAAAGAAGCACCGGCUAACUACGUG